UUGACCUCGGAUCAGGUAGGGAUACCCGCUGAACUUAAGCAUAUCAAUAAGCGGAGGAAAAGAAACCAACAGGGAUUGCCUCAGUAACGGCGAGUGAAGCGGCAAGAGCUCAAAUUUGAAAUCUGGCUGUUUGACAGUCCGAGUUGUAAUUUGUAGAGGAUGUUUCGGGCACGACCUCCGGUUAAAUUUCUUGGAACAGAAUGUCAAAGAGGGUGAGAAUCCCGUCUUGGCCGGGCGGUACGGUCCGUGUGAAACUCCUUCGACGAGUCGAGUUGUUUGGGAAUGCAGCUCCAAAUGGGUGGUAAAUUUCAUCUAAAGCUAAAUAUUGGCCAGAGACCGAUAGCGCACAAGUAGAGUGAUCGAAAGAUGAAAAGCACUUUGAAAAGAGAGUUAAACAGCAUGUGAAAUUGUUGAAAGGGAAGCGCUUGCAACCAGACUUGAGCGCGGCGGUUCCCCCUUCCUUUUGGUCGGGUUACUCCGCCGCGGCCAGGCCAACAUCGGUUCUGGGGGUCGGUCAAAGGCCCGGGGAAUGUACCUAGUCCUUCGGGGCUAGACUUAUAGCCCAGGGUGUCAUGCGACCUCCCGGGACCGAGGAACGCGCUCCGGCGAGGAUGUUGGCGUAAUGGUUGUCAGCGACCCGUCUUGAAACACGGACCAAGGAGUCUAACAUCUAUGCGAGUGUUAGGGUGUCAAACCCUGGCGCGGAAUGAAAGUGAACGGAGGUGGGAAGGCCCAAGCCUGCACCAUCGACCGAUCCUGAUGUCUUCGGAUGGAUUUGAGUAAGAGCAUAGCUGUUGGGACCCGAAAGAUGGUGAACUAUGCGUGAAUAGGGUGAAGCCAGAGGAAACUCUGGUGGAGGCUCGCAGCGGUUCUGACGUGCAAAUCGAUCGUCAAAUUUGCGCAUUGCGGCGAAAGACUAAUCGAACCAU
rnacentral:rRNA from 1 species